CACUUGCCUAAUUCGGGGCACGUCGUCACCUCUCCACCGCAUCGUCUUCGUCCUUCUCCGCUUGCCAUCUCGCCAUGCCUCUCAUCCCUGCUGCUGCUGCGUACGGUUAAGGAUCGCUGGUUGUGCUCUCGUUUGGUCGGUUUUCUACUUCAUCUUCCGCUGCGCCGCUGCUCAUUCUUCUGGGGCCCGCCAAGGUGAUGUGGACUGAGCCCUUAUUUUCCUUUUUGCGCCUUUGGAUAUGUGUGUUCUUGUGAAUCUUACGUGCACCUUUAAAUACGUGGAUUCAUUAGCAUGUGUGAGAAAAUCCAUGAAGAUUCAGAGGCCCCUGUUCCUGUUAGUUUGAAGAGCUACAGGAGCAGCAUGUGAUGAGAAAAUGCGGACGCCAGUAAUCCAUGAAGAUAUACUCAUGUACAGGGUCUGUUAGUGUGAAUUGAAUUCCCCUUUUUCAUGAUCAGUCUAUGAACUACCUAGUGAUGAGAAUUCUGCUGUGCUAUAAAGUGAUUCUUGCUGCCAGUAACUUGGUAUAGCUUUGGAUUUAUGUAACUGCAUCAACUGUAACGACAUGACAAGUAAUUUGUGUCUGAAAGA